rnacentral:rRNA from 1 species
GAUGAACGUUGGCGGCGUGCCUAACACAUGCAAGUCGAACGGAGUCCAGCCUUUAAGACCUUCGGGUCAAAGAGGGGAAGACUGAGUGGCGGACGGGUGAGUAACACGUGGGCAACCUGGCUCAUAGAGGGGGAUAACAGAGAGAAAUUUCUGCUAAUACCGCAUAAGCACACACUGCCGCAUGGCAGAGGGUGAAAAGAGAAUCGCUAUGAGAUGGACCCGCGUCUGAUUAGCCAGUUGGCAGGGUAAGAGCCUACCUAAGCGACGAUCAGUAGCCGAUCUGAGAGGAUGAACGGCCACAUUGGGACUGAGACACGGCCCAAACUCCUACGGGAGGCAGCAGUGGGGGAUAUUGCACAAUGGGGGGAACCCUGAUGCAGCGACGCCGCGUGAGUGAAGAAGUAUUUCGGUAUGUAAAGCUCUAUCAGCAGGGAAGAUAAUGACAGUACCUGAAUAAGAAGCCCCGGCUAACUACGUG